CCAACUGCUAUUGUUUUGGUGUGAUUUCUUGGGGUGCACUAUUACAAAUUUUAGAGCAUAUGACUGUGAACAAUCUCCUCAUCGAACCUAGAGCUAGAGUAACUCCGUUUGACGAUAUUUAGAGCUGCCACAUACAACAGCAGCACUUAGGGGGUUACAUAAAGUGGCGAGCCAGCCAGG